GCCCAGACAGCACAUGUACGUCUGGCCGACGUCGGCCCAAUAUCGAAACGUCGGCCUCUAUACCUAAAACAUCUAUAAAACAUCGGCCUGGCGGAGGCCGAUAUCAUUUGGUCAGUGCUCUGUUCUCCAGCUCAUCAAUCGUCGGCCCUGAGUUGGUUCACGACCGCGGGCCGAUGCUGCGCUUAUCUGUGUGCGCGUGCCCAGUAUUCGUCUCUUUUAGCCACCCAGAGAGAGAGAGAAGAGGAUAAUCCCAGCGACAUCUGUGGCUCUGAGGCUUCCAGAAAUAAUCCGGUGAAAUAAUAUGGUGAGCUAUUGUUGCUGUUGCUUCUGAACUACAAAAUGAUUUUUAAAUGUAUUAUUGAAUGAGACUGUACAUUAUAAAUGUAAUGCUUUAACUCUAGAUGUUUGUUUGUGUGAAUGCUGUGUGUGCGGUGAGUCCUGCGCGAGCGGGGAGCAGAGUUGCCAUGGAAACGGGGCGUCAACACAAAAACCGUUACUGGCAAACAGUAAUCUCCGUCUCUCGCUGCGGUUUACACUGUUUUAGAAACGGUUUAGUGUCUUCGGAAAAGUCCGUUAUCAUUUUAGCAGUUUUCAGGUAACGUUAGGCUAACUCUCUAGACUGAGCUCUUGUUGAUGAAACUCUGGGCUUUUAAUCAAAUCUUCGAUUUGAUUAAAACAAAAUGAUUUUUAAAUUAAUUAUUGAAUGAUUAUUGAACGAGACUGUACAUUAUAAAUGUAAUGUUUUAACUCUAGAUGUUUGUUUGUGUAAAUGCUGUGUGUGCGGUGAGUUCUGCGCGAGUGGGGAGCAGAGUUGCCAUGGAAACGGGGCGUCAACACAAAAACCGUUACUGGCAAACAGUAAUCUCCUUCUCUCGCUGCGGUUUACACUGUUUUAGAAACGGUUUAUUUUCUUCGGAAAAGUCCGUUAGCAUUUUAGCAGUUUUCAGGAGGACAGAAAGAAACUCUACAGAACAGAAGUGAAGCUCCAAGAUUUCAACAUUUAUGAAGGGAGAUACUGACUUAGAAAUACAGGUGAACUGAAGAAGCUCAUGAAAUACAUGAAUAUGCCUUUUUCAGAAUACAUUUCACCAAUUUUAAGAAGUCCCUGACAUCAUGACCUUGUUUCCUUCUAAUGAACCUGGAACUGCAGAGUAAAUAUUGUUGACUCUGUGUCAGAUUGCUUGUUUUGUUCCUGGAUUCUUCAGUGAUGACGAUCAGAGUCUGAGUGAACCUGCUGUCAGACAGGUUGGCCUGAUUGACGAUGCCAUCGUCCAUCGCCGAUGGCUGAUAGACAUCACGAUGCUGCGCCGGCAAACAGCGUCACCAGCUCCAGUAUCUCGCCCGUGCAUCUGUUGUCAUGCGACAGAGAAGUCACGUUCUAUAGACAGUUUCUAUAGACAGUUGUGAACGUGCUGACAGCUGGUUGCCCAGGCUAUGGAUUAAAGGUAAUACUGUUGGCCAGCAGAGAAGGCCCUGCUCACCCUGACGGCCCACCGCUGCUGUCAGACAACAUCUCCAAGAUGCUAUAAACUGCAGGACUAGAUGGCCAUCCCAAGGUUUCUAGAGAUUACAGCAGCUCCAGACUGAAUCCAAACUCACUCGUGAAGACUUCAGAUGACACCAACGCUCACAAAGACUACAGACGACAACUGUACAUGAACACACAAAACAUUGGACACACAAAACAAAUAUUAUCCUUAUUUUGCCUAUAAGGGUAAAUUUGAUGAUUUUCAAACUGCUUUAUUGUAACGUCUCUUAUAUCUGUAAAUGAACAAUAUUUACUCUCUGAGUUAUGUGGACCUACAUGUCCCCUUUUAUUUGUAAGCAUCACUUUAAAAAUGUUGAAAGAUAAUGUUAAUGUUAACUGAAUGCAAAACUAGAGACUUGUUUAGUAAGAUUUUAUCAGAAAAUAUUUUUGAACUUUUAUCAUGCAAUUUAAAACAUUUUAAUUGCUUAAUUAUAUUGUUUACCUGGUUUUAUUUUGUGUUUAUGUAACUUUUUAAAAAGUUCUUGGCAUAAAGUUCGCAUGCGAUGCUGACAGCACUGAACACAUGACUUUUUAUUAUGAACUAGAUGGUCUUCCCAGUGAGUCUCAGUCAUCUCUGGCUUUUUAAACUGUAACCUUGAAACAUGCAUUUCCUGUAAACCUACUUUGAAAUAAGUAUUGUCAAAAGGUGCUAUACUCAUACAACAUUUAACCAUGCAAGUACUCUAGUAAUGGUUAUUUUUGUUUUUACUAUGGUUUUACUGCAAAAGCUGUAGUAAAAUCAUGGUUAAUGUUCAAAAGACUACAAAUAAUCCCGAAUUAUCCACUUUUGAUCAAAGCAUCUGGUAAAUGUUAUUGUAUUUGUACAUGUAAUAUGAAAUAAAUGAAAAUAUUAAUAAAGUUGCGUCUGUUCUUGA